CUUCCUUAAGGUUCUUUUCUCUGGGCACGGAGGCAUGUCCUCAGCAUUAGACUCUGUCAGUCACGGCAGCCUCGCCUCUCAGGACACUCCGCAUGCUUUGUUUCCGCACCGCAAAGGGUGUCUUUGACCGCGCAACGGCUGAGGUAACGUGCCGACACCGGCGCCAGCUGACGUAACGCGCCCGCUUUUACGACAGAGGACGUAGCGCUCCGGCGUCUGCGUCACCUGGCUUAACGCAGCACCGGAGGUAUGGUUUGCUUUUCCUGCUGAGGGUUGCGGGGCGUCGCAAGCCAACGCUUUGAAGCCAUCCAUAGCUCUUUUCAAACAGUCAGAACCAGACAAGAGCUUCGAGGGCAGCUUGUCAUCAAUCUGAAUCGGGGGAAUCCAGACCUACACCUGGACUCAGGAACAGAAAUUGAAUCAUUAUUUCAUGUAACGGACUGGUUUCACUAGUACUGUGACCAGCUGCCUUUCUCCCCAUCUCUCCAGACCAUGAAAUAUUCAGCACUUAAACAAGAAGACGCACCUGCCACAUCCUCUUUGCCCAGCAACAGAUCUGCGGAUUUCAUUGUCUUCCAUGAACUGUUCACCAGCAGUGACGCAGCUCUGAGUUUAGGAUAAUCACGUAUCAUGAAUACACAUCUGGAGGGACUCUGCGAAGGACGCCUCUUCUGGGGAAUGACGCACUCGUGGAGCCAAGUGCGCAGUCCCAGGUGCUCUGUGAGAAGCGGCUGUUUCACCCGCAGGGAUCUGUGAGCCAAGACACAGAGCAUUCGUGAUGGGCAGCUCACGGGCCCUCCCCAGAUUCCCUGCUGGCUGACAUGGAGGACAGCAGCUCUAACUGUUUGCUUUCACCUAGGUUGUCCCCAGGGACUUCUAAGCAGCAAACGCACCCUGUGGGUGAGUCUCACGAGGCUGCUGAGGGGCUCUCCCAGCCUUGCAGGGAGUGGGCUACAGCUGCCAUGCUCCCCCCACCCCCCCGCCGUCCCUACCACAGGAUGCCGUGAAAGGGUUGAGAUGAUCCAGUGUGUUUGUAAAACUCACAUCUCUUGAGAGCUCUUUCCUUUACAUUUUAAAAACAUUUCCCCUAAACAGAUGCCCAGAGACUUUGCAAACAAUAACAGAAGAGUGCGGAGCUUGGGUUUCAUGGAGGACGCGUUCCUCCCCACUGCUUUUGGCAAACGUUAGGGGAAAGCACCGAGAGUCAGCCCAGGUGUAGACGCCCCCUCCUCAGAUGGUCCCAGGCUCCAUUUUCAGGGACAAUUUAAAUGCCUGUGUACGAAAUCCACACAGAACAAUGUUUUGCAUUGUUUUUUCUGUUCUCCAAAACCAAGAACCUCACCUAAGCAAAUGUUCCUAAGAAAAGGCAGCAUGCACACCGAGGAGCAUUACUGUGGUACAUUGGAGAACAGACACUGCCCAACAGCACAACAGCAGACACAGAGAAAGCAGGAAGGAAUGCUAUUGGCAAACAACAGAUUUGCAGAUCAAUAGGACAGAAAAAAGACCUGAAUUUGACCCAUGUUAAUGUAGUCAGCUUAUUCUGACAAAUGAAGAGAUCAUCUUUUCAACUAAAGUGAUGGAACAGUGAACAGUCUUAUGUAAUAACUAAAUCUAGACACAAACUUUAUGACUUUCAUAAAAUAACUCAAGAUGGAACAUGGCAUAAAUGUGAGAUGUAUUAUUAUAAAACUUAGACAAAAAGGGAAAUAAAUCUAUGUAUUUCUGGGUUUGACAAUAAGUCUUUAGGCACAAUGUCAAAAAUACAAUUCAUGCAUGAAAAUCCUGGUAACUGCUCACUGAUAAAUGAUAAAUGGCACUCUGUGCAGACACUUCUGGAAAUCAAGACAAGCUGCAGACUGCGGGGAAUCUGCAAACCACACAUCUGAUCUUUGACUUGUCCGGAAAACACAGGAAAGCAUUUAAACCUCAACAUUUAGUACUCACAAUAAGUAGAAAAUAGCAUAAGAAAUGUGCAAACAAUUUGUAAAGGCACCUCACCAAAGAAGAGACACAGAGGCCAAUGAUCACGUGGAAAUAAACUCAUAAUUGUUUCCUGUCAAGGAAUCGCCAAUUAUAACAUCAAUGAGAUACCACUUCAUGCUAUCAAAAAGAGAAAAACGAAGUUAAAAAACCCAACACUAUCAAAUGCUGACGGACAGACAAAGCAUGGAUGUCUUUGGAACUCUGUCUGUCUUCCAGACCUCAAUGGAGCCCUAGCCUGUGCAUGGCCCAGUAGCUAUGCUCCCAGUUCACCCACUUUAUCUGAAGCCUUGUGUCCACACAAAAGCCUGAAUGCAAACAUGUACACCCAAGAUCUCCUUCCUCUUGUGAAUGGAUUAAGCAAACUGAGUAUAUCCACACAAUUGAAUAUUUUUUAUCUGUAGGAAGAAAUGAGGCGGCAAGCCACAGAUAGGGGUAAAAUGUAAAUGUGUACUUCUUAAGUGAGUGAAGCCAGUCUAGAAAGGCCGCCUGCUGUGUGACUUCAAACUGUAUGCCCUGCAAUGACCAGCGGUUACCAAGGUGCAGUGAGGAGGGACGGGUCCGGUCAGGGAGCCCAGGAAGUUGGUUCCAAGGUCACAGAACUGUAGGCAAAUAACUGAUCUUCUGUAUAUAAAGAGAAAUGAAAAUGAAUCUUGAUGUGAAUGGAAGGGGAGA